UACGAAGGGGGCUAGCGUUGUUCGGAAUUACUGGGCGUAAAGGGCGCGUAGGCGGUCCUGAUCGUCGGAUGUGAAAGGCCUGGGCUCAACCUGGGAAUGGCAUCCGAUACGGCGGGACUGGAGUGUGGGAGAGGUUGGUGGAAUUCCCAGUGUAGAGGUGAAAUUCGUAGGUAUUGGGAAGAACACCGGUGGCGAAGGCGGCCAACUGGACCACAACUGACGCUGAGGCGCGAAAGCGUGGGGAGCAAACAGG
rnacentral:rRNA from 1 species